rnacentral:tRNA from 1 species
GCGAUCGUAGCUCAGUUGGUUAGAGCACCGGAUUGUGGAUCCGGUUGUCGCGGGUUCGAGCCCCGUCGAUCGCCCCA